rnacentral:tRNA from 1 species
GCGGAAGUAGCUCAGGGGUAGAGCUUCAGUUUCCCAAACUGAAGGUCGCGGGCCGUGACGAUCCGCCCGAAGCGGAUGUCACGGUGCAGACAGCCGCCACAAGUGGCUUGUCGGCAUUCGAAUCCCGUCUUCCGCU